GGGGCAGGGACCGGGGUGGGGGGAGGGGAGGGCAGGAGUAGGGACUCGAGGAAUCCGGGAGCGGCCAGGAGCUAGAAUUUGCCUCUGGAGUGUGACCCCUGGGGGUCCGAACUCAGCUUAGUCGGUUUACGUUGACUGACUUGUCUGAACCUCAGUUUGCUCACUUGUAAAAUGGGGAAUGUGUUGAGACCUCGCGAGGAAAGCGGACGCAAAGCGCUUGGCAAGGCGCGCAUGCGGUGCGCCAGAGGCUGCCGAGCCCGCCCAAGGCCGCCCUGCCCCGGCCCGCACCCUCACGGCGCCCGAGACCGGUUCUCUUCUAGAAGGUGUCUACGCCAUCGCUCCUUCCUCAGGCGCAGCGCCGCCGGACGUGGCGGCCAACGGCUCCUCCUGCGCCUCCCCACUGACAGCCCUGGUCUGCCCGAGCGUGCGCCCUCGCCCUUGCUCGCGUACCGGCUUCGCCAAGGGGGUCCUUUGUCCACCUCGACCUCCUCGGUGGCUGGAACCAGCCCGAUUCUGCCGCCUCCAGGAGGGAGGAGCCCGGGGGGUGGGGCGAGAAGCGGGACACCUCCCAGCUUCAUCCAGCGCCCAGGCUCUGAUCAGCCUCCCCAAGGUGCCAGCUGCGCCCAGUGCCAAGACAGGCCCACGGCCACUAACUGCUCUUGGCAACCGUCGAAGCGCCCAAGCAACCUCCGGUACGGGGCCUCAGGCCUCUUGCAAAUCUGAGAAAAUUUAGGCUCCUCCUUCCCUCCCCGCUCUGUCUCCUUUUCCCGGGUUAGCGGCGAGAGAUCAGCGGGAUCCCACAAAGCAGGUUCCGCCGCUAACAGAUCCUGGGACUCGAAGCCCAGUCUGGAACUUUUCUGAGGGCGGGAGGACCUGGGGUCAGACUGCAGCGAGCUCCCAGUCAGGGAAAACCGCUUGGACAAGCCGUGUCCCUCCAGGCCAGGGAAACAGAGGGUAGUCCGAGCGCUGGCGCGGGGAUGUGACAGAGGAGUCCACGCUGGGAACUGACUCGGCCGGGCACCGGAUCGCCCUCUUGACUCUGGAAUCUGCAUCGCCCCUCCUCCACUGUCUGCUUUUGGGGUGUCUUCCAAGACCCUCCCCAGUCCCCCUCUCCUCCUUACAAAUAGACGGGCAGAGAAGGGAAGCGUGCCUUCUCAGAAACUUAAAGGUCUCUUUCUGUCUCUCUCCCCCAGGGGGUCUACACGGCCCAAAGGACAGUCUUCAGGAACUCCUAACUGUGGGGAGGGUUCUGCUCCCCUUAACCCCCAUCCCCCCCCCCCACCCAUGCACUUGUUCUUGGAUGAGGGGAGGGUUAAGGACAGGGAGGGUUAACUGAUCACUGAUAACUCAUGUCAGUCAUGUCCAACUCUUUGGGACUCCAUGGACAGUAGCCCCCCAGGCUCCUCUGUCCAUAGGAUUCUCCAGGCAAGAAUCCUGGAGUGGACUUCCAUGUCAGGGGAUUUUCCCAACUCAGGGAUCAAAACCAGGUCUCUCACAUUGCAGGCAGAUUCCUUACUAUCUGAGCCACCAGGGAAGCCCAAGUUAAGUAUCCGCCAAAUGGCCAGGAAAGGCAGAAGGUUUGGGAAGUUACAAUCCCUGUGAGGACUCCAUCUCUUGGUUUAUUAUCUCCAUCCCUCUCUAGAAUGAGGGUGAAGAGAACAAGCCAACCCUGACCCUUCAGCCUAGAAACCAUCAACUCAGCACAAUAUGGCCAGAGUUUAGGUCUGUGCCUGAGCGAUCUUGGACAUCCAAUGCCACUCCUCCUCACCCUGACUCUUCUAGCCAAAGGCGAGUGAGAUUUUCCCCUGAAGGCAAUAUUAACGUGCAGGUCAGCGUUUGGCCUGUUCGGAUGCAGUGCCUGCGGAUCCAGCCUGGAUUGGGGACUCUCACUCUCCAUAAGUCCAGACUGAAAAGCCUGCAAUCACUAACCCUACACUCUGGCUCCCUCCACCCUGAACCCCAGUGGCUAACGGGGCUUCCAUAUAGUACAGGCAGAAUUACCAAUGUUAAAUUGUGAUUUGCAUCUUUAAGGUCUUAGGGAGAAUUGUUUCAUCCUUCAUAAUGAAUGUUUGGUUGAUGAAAGUGGACAUUCAACACCUUGCUUGUGUCACUGGCAAAACAUCUGUAAGGCAAAGGGUUUUCCUUUCCAAAGACUGGGAAGCUGGUCCCAAAGCCAGCAAAGUCAGCAAAAGCAGGAUGAGAGAAGGUGCCUGUUUCCCUUUCCCCCACAAAAGUUGUCUGAGGCAAUGGGUGAUUUAAGAUAGUGGUGUUACAACUUUGCUGCAUGUUCGAAUCACCUAAAGAGGUUUAAAUCCUGAUGCUCAGGUGGCCCUCAGAUCAAGUGAAUCAGAACUUUUGAG
ensembl:lncRNA